rnacentral:pre_miRNA from 1 species
GAAGUACUCCCUCCGUUCGGAAUUACUCGUCCAAGAAAUGAAUGUAUCUAGAUGUAUUUUAGUUGUAGAUACAUCCAUUUCUACGACAAGUAAUUUUGAACGGAGGGAGUAGUUA